AUGGAAAUGGGGUUGUCAUUGUCAUUGGAUGGAAAUGGAGUUGUCAUUGUCUUUAUAAGAGACUUAGACACUAGUAAUAAUAGCUGGGCUUAAGCAUUUUGGGCCGGUGGUUGGGCCCAACGAGUUAUUAUUGCUAGUGGGCUGGGUCGUUACAUUUGACUUUCUAUUUAAUAAACGUAUAUUUUUAUAUAAACCUCAGUUUAUCCGAAAAGUCUUUUUCAACCUAAAAAUUAAUAUGCAGAAAUAAAUACU
rnacentral:lncRNA from 1 species